UGAAGUCUUUGAGGCGGGGUGCGAUUCCCCACCGGCGGUACAGCCCGCAAGCCGAGAGGCAUGAUCCGGUGUGAUUCCGGAGCCGACAGUAUAGUCUGGAUGAUAAAAGACGGUC
rnacentral:ncRNA from 2 species